rnacentral:lncRNA from 1 species
GUCACGGUGGACAUGCUCACGCUCGAUUCCUGUGAAAUCUGGAACUUUUCCAUACCCUACAGUAUGCCCAGAAAGCACUCCACACAGAAAAGGGCUCCAGUACAUGACCACGCCCAUCAAAGAGAGCAGGUGCAAAGCUUGAAGAGGUCUCUCCCUUCAGCUCUCCACUUUGGGGGUCUGCUGUGACAGCUCCCCUCACUGGUUGCGCCCUUUCCUGGUUCUGAUGGUCACCGUGUGGAUGAGGAAACAGGGACUCAUUGAGGAUUUAUCCCCUUGGUGGAGAACAUAGAAUCCAGAAACAAGAAGUAUAUAACAAGAAGCUGUCGGACGCCAGAGUUAAGGAGCCCACGUUCACAGAACCGGAAGUGUCUAAGUCAGGGACCACAAAACUACAAACAGCAGGAUCUGCAGACUUGGAGUCCUCAAAUCUCAGCGAUGACUCAGAGAUGCCAAGAGGCCGGACACUUGGGUCCUAAGAUUGUCCGUGCAAGAGUGAGGAUCCUGGAUGUGGAAGUUCCUCAGCGUAGCAAGGGUCCAGGAGCAAUACAGGAAAUGGUUCGCAAGCGUCAGGAAAACCACAGCUGAGUCUGAGAAGUAGAUGCUCUCCAGCAGGGCCGUGUCUGAUGCCUACAAACACAGUGUGGAGAAUUAAAUUAAUAGCUAAACCGAGGACAUUGUAUCCUGGAAAGUUCUGAACUGUCAUCCUUUGGGCAAAGAUUACAGAAAAUACUUUUUAAUGUUUGUUACAAGAAACUCUUCAUGGUGCCAUUGUGGGAGAAAGUAUCAGGAAAUGUUUGACAUUCAGUUGCUGGAGAAUUGGGGUCUUCUGGGCCAUACAGCUUGCUCACCUCAUUCCCACAGAGUCAAGGAGCUAUGACCCAAUUCCCCAGCUGCUUUGGAUGAAACCCUCUGCUCCAACCUCCUCUUCUGCAAGGAAGUUCCUCAAGUUGAAGAUACAUUACACGGAUAAUGAGCCUUAGAGGACUUUCUUAAAAUAGCAUCAGAGAGGAAAAUAAUGUUCAAAUACUGCGUGUAAUGUAAACAUUUAAUCCAGUUGCCCAACUUUCCUGGUUUUAGUACUGAAAGUCCUCUGGCCCAUGAGACACUUGGGUUACAGGCCAACUAGGACAGUUUGUCUCCCUGCUGACCUGCCUCAACUUCUUCACUCUCUAUCUCUAAGGCUUACAAAUUUAUUCAUUCAAAAAUAUAUAUGUUUUUUACUCACCAUGUGCUGCACACAGAUCAAGACAGAUUCAGUUCCUCAUUUCACAGAGCUUACUGGUAAAAGAAUAUUUCCUCAGAGUAAAAUCAGAAACCUCUGAAUAGAGUCUCUACAUCCUUACAUUUUACAAGCUGAGCUGUGAGAUAAGGUGUAUAUUGCUACUGCAAAUUUUGUAAGUUAUAGCUAUACAUAUUGCUCAUAUAUGGAUAUCUAUGCAUCCUCAGCAUAUAAUCUAGAGAAAAUCUAAAUCCAGAGCAGUAACACUUACAUGAAAUUCCCUGUGGGCCCCACUGACCAAAUCUGCGUCAAUUUGAGUGUCCAGGAAAAUGACUGUAAAUGAUUAUAAAAUAUUAAAUAAAAAUACCCAUGAGUCCAUAGUGACACAUAAAAUGUCAGCUCUAAACGUAAAAGAUAUGAUAGAAUUAGAAGAUCAUGGGUUUUUCAAUAUCCAGUAAGAGGCCACUAAAAGCAUGGGGUGAAAGGCUGCUGGAGGACAAGCUGGUCCUACAGAGCCCAAAAAUCCCCUCAGAUUACUGGUUCAUCACAAGGGCCAAGGUGCACAUCUACAACAUGGAGAUCUGCCAGUCACCAUCUGAACUUAAAUGAUCAGGCUUAACAUCACCACUAUGGGAAACCUGACAUCAGAUAUCUCCUCAGAAGACAUGAAGUUACAACAUCCCAUUUGUGGUGAAUAAAGAAUUAUUGACAAAUCAGUCUGACCUAAACCUAAUCCAGCCUUCAGACCAAGGGUGGACAAACUGGAGCAUGCAGGACAAGUGCAGGCAGCCGCCUGCUCUGGUGAAUAAAGAUUUAUUGGAGCACAGCCACACCCAUUCAUGGAUGAUUGUCUAUGGCUGCUCUCACGCUACAGUGUCAGAGUUGAGUAGCUGUGACAGAGACUGUACGAACGACAAGCUGAAAAUAUAUACCACCUGGCCCUUUAUGGGCAACCUUGCUGGCACCUGUUCUUCCAGAUCUAACGUUCAGUAUACACAGAAUACAGGGGACAGAAGAACAGGUUAAAUGGCAUCAAGAGGAAACAAUCAGGCAAAUUGAGAGUGUGGGGCAUUCAACAAGCCCUGGACUCUUCUAAAGUCAAUAGCAUUUUAAAAAGUGACUAGAGGCUAUUCCAUAUCAAAAGAGGCAAAAGUGACAUCACCAUCGAGUUCAGCGUAAAUUUUAGUGGGACUCUGGUUCAGAAACACAGCUAUAAAAAUAUUUUGGAGCAAUUGGGGUAAUUUGAAUAUGGAUCAGAUAGUAAAUGUUGUUAUGAAAUUGCUGAUUUUCU